GAGCGGGCGAGUCCACGGGGACGGCGGCGCGUGCGCCGCGAGUGAGUGGUUCAGCCGGGCCUUGGCUCAUUGUGCUCGCCUCACGCUGGCCCGAGUUGGCGGCAGCGCUGGAGGUCCCGGGCCUGUGAGCACAAAGAGGGAGCCGGGGGGCGGACGGGAGUGCGGCGGCGGCGGCGGCGGCGGCGGCGGCGGCGGCGGAGGCUGAGGCCCAGGCCAGGCCCCCUCCCCUCAGCCUCCCGCCGGCCUGCCCCGCCCCCGCCGGCGGCGCCCCGCCCCUCCCCCAACCGCCAGACUAGCCUGGUGCGGGGGCCGCGCGCGAAGACCUGGGGGAGAAGUUGGAGCUGAGGCUGGAGUCGCCCGUGGGGGCCGAGCCCGCCGUCUACCCGUGGCCGCUGCCGGUCUACCCCCCGUCUCCUCAGUGGGAGGUGACUGGAUGAUACCGGCUUCCUGACGUUGACUCCCUGCUCGGGGCAGAUGGCAGGCGCUGGAGCAGCAGGGUGGUCCCGGUCAGAUGUGGCAGCCUCCCAGGAGGGCAAAACCAGCGGGUGACAGCCCACCGGGGCCCCACGGCGGGGCGGGCGGCGGUGGCGGAGCCAGCUCGAGAGAGGCUAUAUUCAUCUGUGUUGAUCACUGCUGUGUUUCCUGAACAUGCCUAUAAAACAUACUGAAGAAGGGUGCCUGAAAUUUGUUCCAGAAAUGACGUCUGCUGAAGGGAGAACAUGUUCUAGCAAUGAAAUCUUCAAAAGACUCCUGCCGCUGCUCUGUGACUGGGACCCCUAGGUUGUCUUUGGAAGUUUCUAAGGCCUCCUGAGUAGAGACUGGGACAUGGAAGGAGUCGAGAGGCAAAGGAAGCCCAGCAUCACCUGUAAUUUUCUGAAACUGGAGGGAAAGACAAAAGACAAGACAAAAAUUUAGUGAUGAACAAAGCCAACCAUUAAAAAGCACAUGUAAACAGUAUAUUGUUUGUGACCAGACUGUGUUCUCAAGUUGUCAGUUCCCAAGACCAGUCUGAGAUUGGCUGAGGUGGGCGAAGGGGGCUCUAAGUAAGACUAGAGGAAAAGUUGACAUGUUUCCCCUCCCAUUCCCAUGACCAGGUGGACUACUAACAGUAGAAUUCAUCUGGGAACGACCUAGUAAAUGAAAAUCUGACUGAUCUAUACCAGCCAUUGUGGCCAGCUGCCCAAGCCUGGACCAGAGGAGGAAAGGAGAAAAGACAAAGGUUAUUAUAAUCACAUAAGAGCAGUUUAGAUUUCCCCGGACCUACAAUCAUGAAAUACUUCUAAAAUCUUAAAAGCCAACAUCCUACUCCAGACUACAAGCCUCUCUCUCCCCCAAAUUCUCAGCCCUUUCCAGAUUCAUCCUCUAGGAAACAUCCCACUGUCUCACUAGCAGCUUCAACAUGUACCACCCCGUCCACUGCCUGUCACACCUCCACUCCCACACUUCUUUACCACCUUUCCUCCAGUUUCCAAGAAUGUGUUUGUUCCUUCCUUCCCAACACCAAUUCAUUCACUGACAAAACACCACUCCAUCAACUAUCAAUCUCCACUUCCCUCUUUCAGCAAAAUUGCUCCCGGUUGAGAACCACUGACCUAUAUCUUCCCUGAAGAUUAAUAAUAAUUUUUAUGUCUAAGACAAAAAUAACUUUAAUGCAAACUUAUCAAACAAGCAAAAUAAAUGAAAGAUAGGAAAAUUCUUAUCCAUUCCCGAAUAUUUUCAAUGAAAACUGCCUUCAAUUUAGUCUUUACAAAAAACUAUACCUACUAAUUACUCUGUCUACAGGUUACUCUUUUAUAAUGGGCUCCCCACUCUACCAAGGCAGGCUCCCCUAUUUGCAUUUCUUAAAAAAUGUAAUUCCUCAUUUUAAAACGUCAACUAUAUUACCUAUAAUUCCCCUAAAUUUGGCUAAAUAUGGCCACGUAAGUGAUGAAAAUUGCUCCAGUUCCUCAGCAAACUACCAUUAUAGUCUCAAAGAGAAGAACGCCAUGAAGAGAAAUGAACUAACCCAGCAUCUUUAAGGAGAUCCAAGAAAGCAUGGAACUUCUGAAAAGAAUUCUCAGUGCUGCCCAAAACACCUUCAUCAUCCAGGAUCAUGCUUGUCAAUGAGUGGGCAUGAAGGCCUUCAGACAAAGAGAAAUUUAUAUUACUUAACUGGGCAUUUUCAUGUUCCAGGUAUAAAAGAAGACUGAAAAUGUCUGACAUGCUUUUUUCUCAUUGUCAUCAAAAGUAGUCUUGUCUAGUUUCAAGGAACAAAACUAAAACACUCAAAAUGUAAUUAAUCUGUAAUUAACCUAACUCUCCACCAGUAAAGACAGAGACCAUAUCACAUAAUAACCAAAACCCCCAGGCACCCAACAAAGUUUCCUAUAUAACAGGUGGUAUAUAAAUAAACCAAAGUUAUCGUUUUAUUAAUGACCUUUCACAAAAGAUCACAUUUCUAACUGGUUAAAUUCAUAAUGAAGCCUCAUUCCACAUUAGAAAAUUACCUGCUUUAAGUUUC